AAUAUGUACACAAAAAGAAUCAGCCCAUACGCCAACCCUAAUGAAACAAAAUACAAAAAAAGACAAUCAAUUAGGAAAGUUGAAAAGGAUGGACAUUUUUAAAGAUAAUCAAUCAAAGAGGCAACUGAAGCAUCCGAUAGCUUCAAUGUUGUUGUUCAUGGUCGAAGCUUCCUCUUCAUGGAUGAUUCUAGAUCCACCGUUGAUUAUCUCACUAGCGAUUUAAACUUUUCAUCCAAGAGCUCUAUCAGAUCUACCAUUGAAUAUCUCACUACCGAUUUAAACUUUUCAUCCAACAGUUCUAUCAGAUCUAGCAUUGAAUAUCUCACUGCCGAUUUAAAAUUUUCAUCCAAGAGUUCUAUCAGGCCUCUUGCAGAAAAGAAAUUACUUGUGUCAUUUGCAAGCUUCAUAUACAACUAUUCUAACUGCUUGUAGAUGAAUAGAGUUUUUCCCAUUCAGUAUCCUAACCUAAGCAGGAAAAAUUGUUUCUUAACAUUUUUGCAACUGAUGGCAUACACUCUUGACGAUGGAAGACACACCGCAAUUCCAGUCACAUUGUAGGUGCCUUGGAACAAACUUCUUAGUCACUUUAUCGUUCCAACUGUGUUGUCUUCCAUAUGUCUAUUUUUUGCUUCUGUUCUUUCCAUUUCAAUGUUGCCUAGGCGAGAUAUACCCUUCUCUAGCCAUUGUAAGAGUUAGUGUUUCAAUUAAUUUUGAAACAAAUUCAUCCGUUUUGAAAUAACAAAUACAUGAAUGUGAAUUGUAAUAUUCAUUUAUUUUAAUUAUAUGUUAUAAACA